rnacentral:rRNA from 1 species
CCUGGCUUAGGACGAACGCUGGCGGCGUGCCUAAUACAUGCAAGUCGAACGGUCUUUCUAUGGAAGCUUGCUUCCACUGAGAAGAUAGUGGCGAACGGGUGAGUAACACGUGGGUAACCUGCCCAUAAGAGGGGGAUAACAUCCGGAAACGGGUGCUAAUACCGCAUAGUUUUCUUGAUCGCAUGAUCGGGAAAGGAAAGACGGCCUUUGUGCUGUCGCUUAUGGAUGGACCCGCGGCGUAUUAGUUAGUUGGUGAGGUAACGGCUCACCAAGACGAUGAUACGUAGCCGACCUGAGAGGGUGAUCGGCCACAUUGGGACUGAGACACGGCCCAAACUCCUACGGGAGGCAGCAGUAGGGAAUCUUCCGCAAUGGACGAAAGUCUGACGGAGCAACGCCGCGUGAGUGAAGAAAGGUUUUCGGAUCGUAAAACUCUGUUGUCAGAGAAGAACAAGUUGGAGAGUAACUGCUCCAGCCUUGACGGUAUCUGACCAGAAAGCCACGGCUAACUACGUGCCAGCAGCGGC